rnacentral:rRNA from 1 species
UACAGAGGCCCCGAGCGUUGUUCGGAUUCACUGGGCGUAAAGGGUGCGUAGGUGGUGAGGUAAGUCGGAUGUGAAAUCUCCGAGCUCAACUCGGAAAUGGCAUUGGAAACUACCUUGCUCGAGGGUUGGAGGGGGGACUGGAAUGCUUGGUGUAGCAGUGAAAUGCGUAGAUAUCAAGCGGAACACCAGUGGCGAAGGCGAGUCCCUGGACAACUCCUGACACUGAGGCACGAAAGCUAGGGGAGCAAACAGG